rnacentral:rRNA from 1 species
GACGAACGCUGGCGGCGUGCUUAACACAUGCAAGUCGAACGGAAAGGCCCUGCUUUUGUGGGGUGCUCGAGUGGCGAACGGGUGAGUAACACGUGAGUAACCUGCCCUUGACUUUGGGAUAACUUCAGGAAACUGGGGCUAAUACCGGAUAGGAGCUCCUGCUGCAUGGUGGGGGUUGGAAAGUUUCGGCGGUUGGGGAUGGACUCGCGGCUUAUCAGCUUGUUGGUGGGGUAGUGGCUUACCAAGGCUUUGACGGGUAGCCGGCCUGAGAGGGUGACCGGCCACAUUGGGACUGAGAUACGGCCCAGACUCCUACGGGAGGCAGCAGUGGGGAAGAUUGCACAAUGGGCGGAAGCCUGAUGCAGAAACGCCGCGUGCGGGAAGACGGCCUUCGGGUUGUAAACCGCUUUCGCCUGUGACGAAGCGUGAGUGACGGUAAUGGGUAAAGAAGCACCGGCUAACUACGUGC